rnacentral:rRNA from 1 species
CAACUCGCCUGUAUGAAGUCGGAAUUGCUAGUAAUCGUGGAUCAGCAUGCCACGGUGAAUACGUUCCCGGGCCUUGUACACACCGCCCGUCACACCAUGAGAGCCGGAACACCCGAAGUCCGUAGUCUAACCUAUAUGGAGGACGCGGCCGAAGGUGGGUUUGGUAAUUGGGGUGAAGUCGUAACAAGGUAAC